rnacentral:rRNA from 1 species
UACAGAGGUCUCAAGCGUUGUUCGGAUUCAUUGGGCGUAAAGGGUGCGUAGGCGGCGCGGUAAGUCGGGUGUGAAACCUCCAGGCUCAACCUGGAGACGCCACUCGAUACUGCUAUGGCUAGAGUCCGGUAGGGGACCACGGAAUUCCUGGUGUAGCGGUGAAAUGCGCAGAUAUCAGGAGGAACACCGGUGGCGAAGGCGGCUUCCUGGACCGACACUGACGCUGGAGGCGCGAAAGCUAGGGGAGCAAACGGG